GCACCCAGGUCUGCGGUAGCUACCCGCUGAGUUUAAGCAUAUCAAUAA
rnacentral:rRNA from 1 species